rnacentral:misc_RNA from 1 species
AAGAGCCACAUGGAACUUC